AGAAAGAUAGAACUGAGCAGCAGUCGAAGAUAGGAACUGGUUAAAUCCACACACAACUUACAAAAUAUUCUUUUUAUUAAAAAAAAUAAAAUGUUUAAGAAAGAAUAGCAAUUACUGCUUUUCCAUUCUAACAGGAGCAACACUGGU